UACAGAGGUGCCAAGCGUUAGGCGGAAUCGCUGGGCUUAAAGCGCGUGUAGGCGGGUCGUUAAGUGUCUUGUGAAAUCCCACGGCUCAACCGUGGAACUGCUGGGCAUACUGACGAUCUUGAGGCACUCAGGGGCUGUCGGAACAAAUGGUGGAGCGGUGAAAUGCGUAGAUAUCAUUUGGAACGCCAACGGUGAAAACAGACAGCUGGGGGUGUCCUGACGCUGAGACGCGAAAGCCAGGGGAGCGAACGGG
rnacentral:rRNA from 1 species